UGAUCUAGAGAGGUAAGGCUUCGUUAGAUCUGUGUUGAUUCAUGGAUUCUAGCUAGAUUAGGGUUCUUAUUUCGGUAUUGACUCUUCUUGUGCUGGAUUUUUCUCCCGAUCAGAUUGGUCCUCCUCUUCUUGCGGCUGAUUGGGGAAUUCGGUUGAAGAGGUUGAGACCAGUGAGUGGUGCUUGGGCUGUAGGGCAGAGACUUCAGGUGUUGAUGCUUGAUCAGUAGUCUUCCUGCUUGAUUCCACUGUGAUCCGAUUGAUUUCCAGUGAGGUUGAGUGUCCUGUGGAUCUGGAAUUGUGGUUCCGGCAGCACCUCAACCAGUAGCUCCUUUGGUUUCAACAAUCAACAGCGGUUGCUAAUUGAGGAUCUUGUCUGGUCCAACAGAUCACUUUGUUUUCCAACAGCUCAAUUGAGUGAGAUUCUGUUGCUGUGAUGCUGGAGUUGUGAUCUUUGAGGUGUAUCCAGCAGCUUUCCCUAACCGGCAGCAACACCUUUGAUUGUGAUCUAUUGGUGAUCACCUUGGAUUUGAGGAUUCUGAUUCGAGACAGGCGUCUCGACGUUGACUUCGGAUUUGGGAUUGUACCUU